rnacentral:rRNA from 1 species
GAAGAGUACCGAGAGGGAAAGGUGAAAAGCACCCCUGGCGGGGAGUGAAAGAGACCUGAAUUCGUAUGCUUACAAGCGAUCGGAGCACGGCGUAUGCCUUCGGGUGUACGGGUGUGUGACGGUAUGCCUUUUGUAAAAUGAGCCGGCGAGUUAUUGUGCAUAGCGAGGUUAAGGAGCAGGAGCUCCGGAGCCGCAGGGAAACCGAGUCUGAACAGGGCGAUUAGUUUUGCAUAAUAGACCCGAAGCCCGACGAUCUAUCCAUGUCCAGGUUGAAGCUCCGGUGAAGCGGGGUGGAGGACCGAACCGAAGCCUGUUGAAAAAGUCUCGGAUGAGGUGUGGAUAGGAGUGAAAAGCUAAUCGAGUUGGGUGAUAGCUGGUUCUCCCCGAAAUGCAUUUGGGUGCAGCCCGGAAUGUUUAGUAGCGGGGGUAGAGCACUGAAUGGACGCGGGCGGUUGUAACCGUACCAAAUUCAAUCAAACUGCGAAUACCGUGACUUAAGAGUUCCGGAGUGAGACUGCGGGAGAGAAGUUUCGUAGUCGAGAGGGAAAGAGCCCAGAUCCACGGCUAAGGUCCCAAAGACAUGCUAAGUGUGGCAAGGAUGUGACGAUGCCCGGACAGCCAGGAGGUUGGCUCAGAAGCAGCCAUCCUUUAAAGAGUGCGUAAUAGCUCACUGGUCGAGGAUUGUUGCGCCGAAAAUACAGGGGGCUAAGCAUGUCACCGAAGCCUGGAGAUUGACUUUAAGGAGUCGAAUCGGUAGGGGAGCGUUGUAUGUGGGGCGAAGUACGGUCGGAAGGACGUGUGGACUGCAUACAAGAGAGAAUGCCGGCAUGAGUAACGCGAAGUGUGUGAGAAUCACACUCACCGGAAGUCCAAGGGUUCCUGGGGAAGGUUGAUCCGCCCAGGGUAAGGCGGGGCCUAAGGUCAGGCCGAAAGGCGUAGCUGAUGGACAACAGGUUGCUAAUCCUGUCCCGCGAUGAGUUCGUUAAGACGAUGGAGUGACGCAGGAGGCUAGGUGCGCCGGGUGAUGGACCCCGGUCCAAGGGAGCGGCCUGACGAGGGAGGGAAAACCCCCUUGUUAAAGGUUAGACCUGAUGGGGAGCGAACCGCGAGGGGAGCGAAGGUAUUGAAGCCAGGCUGCCAGGAAAAGCUUCUAAGGAGAACUCAUAGCGCCCGUACCCGAAACCGACACAGGUGGACUGGCUGAGGAGGCUAAGGUGAGCGGGAGAACUAUCGUUAAGGAACUCUGCAAAUUGACCCCGUAACCUAGGGAGAAGGGGUGCCACGCUUGGUGCAAGCUGAGGGUGGUCGCAGAAACCAGGCACAGGCGACUGUUUACUAAAAACACAGGACUCUGCAUAAGGCGCAAGCCGAAGUAUAGGGUCUGACACCUGCCCGGUGCUGGAAGGUUAAAUGGAGGGGUUAGUACAGUGAUGUGCGAAGCUCUGAAAUGAAGCCCCAGUAAACGGCGGCCGUAACUAUAACGGUCCUAAGGUAGCGAAAUUCCUUGUCGGGUAAGUUCCGACCUGCACGAAAGGUGUAACGAUCUGUGCGCUGUCUCGACGGUAGGCCCGGUGAAAUUGUGGUCCUGGUAAAGACGCCAGGUACCCGUGGUGGGACGGAAAGACCCCAUGGAGCUUUACUGUAACUUAGUAUUGAAUUUUGUCCUACGAUGCACAGGAUAGGUGGGAGGCGUUGAGGCUGGGAUUUUGGUUCCAGUUGAGCCACCGUUGGGAUACCACCCUUUGUAUGAUGAAAUUCUAACCCGGAGGCGUUGAAACACGCGCGGGGACAUUGCUAGGCGGGCAGUUUGACUGGGGCGGUCGCCUCCCAAAGAGUAACGGAGGCGCGCAAAGGUCACCUCAGGGCGAAUGGAAACCGCCCUCUGAGAGCGUAAGCGUAUAAGGUGGCUUGACUGUGAGACGGACGUGUCGAACAGGAACGAAAGUUGGUGCUAGUGAUCCGGUGGUGCCGAAUGGAAGGGCCAUCGCUCAACGGAUAAAAGCUACCCUGGGGAUAACAGGCUGAUCUCGCCCGAGAGUUCCAAUCGACGGCGUGGUUUGGCACCUCGAUGUCGGCUCAUCGCAUCCUGGGGCUGAAGCAGGUCCCAAGGGUUGGUCUGUUCGCCCAUUAAAGCGGUACGUGAGCUGGGUUUAGAACGUCGUGAGACAGUUCGGUCCCUAUCCACCAUGGGCGUAAGGUAUUUGAGGAGAGCUGUUCCUAGUACGAGAGGACCGGAAUGGACGAACCGCU